rnacentral:rRNA from 1 species
GAUGAACGCUGGCGGCGUGCUUAACACAUGCAAGUCGAACGGUGAACGAGGGAGCUUGCUCCCUCAGGAACAGUGGCGAACGGGUGAGUAACACGUAAGCAGUCUGCCCCGAACUGUGGGAUAAGCGAUGGAAACGGCGUCUAAUACCGGAUACGACGCGCGAAGGCAUCGUCUGCGGGUGGAAAGAAAUUCGGUUCGGGAUGAGAUAGCGGCCUAUCCGCUGGUUGGUGUGGUAACGGCUCACCAAGGCGACGACGGGUAGCCGGCCCGAGAGGGUGACCGGCCGCACUGGGACUGAGACACGGCCCAGACUACUACGGGAGGCAGCAGUGGGGAAUAUUGCACAAUGGGCGCAAGCCUGAUGCAGCAACGCCGCGUGAGGGACGACGGCCUUCUGGUUGUAAACCUCUUUUAGUAGGGAAGAAGCGAAAGUGACGGUACCUGCAGAAAAAGCACCGGCUAACUACGUGCCAGCCGCCGCAGUAAAAC